rnacentral:lncRNA from 1 species
CAUUUGCGCUGGGAUUCGUUAGCGUCAUCAGCCUUUAACUCGCUUACUAGGUCUUCGCAGUGUACCAUACUGCAAGAUGUAGGAAUGCGCAAAACAACACAAAGAAAGGAUAGAAUAGGUAAUAAAAUACUUUGGCAAUUACUAUUGACAGUUCUGGAUAAUCUUGAAGGCUGCCUUGCCUGAAGAAGAUGAGUGUUACAAAUCACUCCACUGAAAGAGGGAAGAACAGCAGCAGGCAGCAGACAGGUUUCAAUUUCACAAUGCUGAUUAUCUCAUUCGCGAUUCUAUGCAUGCCUAAAUCUGAGAAUCCCUCAAGCAGCUAUAUGGACUUCUACUUUUAAAAUGCCUAUUACGCUUUCAUACUUUUUCCUGCUUCCUGAAGAGUACCAUUUCGCCAAGCUUAAAUAGCAGAAAAUUGCACUGCUUUUCCUCUGCCCAUCUCCUCAAUCUCUAUUAACCUGCACAAGAACAAAGGAGUAUGAUGGUCCAGCUAUAGGUUGAGAAAUAGGUUUGGAGUUGUUUUUCAUUUACUGCCACGCAUAUUUUUGACUCAUAAAUUCAUUUCCAACAAUAACCUUCUUUUAAUACCUCAGCAAAUUACUAAAA